rnacentral:tRNA from 1 species
AAGAAUAAAAUUAAGGAGCCGCUAACUACUUUUCAAGUGAAAAAAUCACUUUAUUCUUU